GAUGAACGCUGGCGGCGUGCCUAAUACAUGCAAGUCGAGCGAACAGACGAGGAGCUUGCUCCUCUGACGUUAGCGGCGGACGGGUGAGUAACACGUGGAUAACCUACCUAUAAGACUGGGAUAACUUCGGGAAACCGGAGCUAAUACCGGAUAAUAUAUUGAACCGCAUGGUUCAAUAGUGAAAGACGGUUUUGCUGUCACUUAUAGAUGGAUCCGCGCCGCAUUAGCUAGUUGGUAAGGUAACGGCUUACCAAGGCAACGAUGCGUAGCCGACCUGAGAGGGUGAUCGGCCACACUGGAACUGAGACACGGUCCAGACUCCUACGGGAGGCAGCAGUAGGGAAUCUUCCGCAAUGGGCGAAAGCCUGACGGAGCAACGCCGCGUGUGUGAUGAAGGUCUUCGGAUCGUAAAACUCUGUUAUUAGGGAAGAACAAAUGUGUAAGUAACUAUGCACGUCUUGACGGUACCUAAUCAAAAAGCACCGGCUAACUACGUG
rnacentral:rRNA from 1 species